rnacentral:rRNA from 1 species
CCUACGGGUGGCAGCAGUGGGGAAUUUUGCACAAUGGGGGAAACCCUGAUGCAGCGACGCCGCGUGAGUGAAGAAGGAAUUCGGUAUGUAAAGCUCUAUCAGCAGGGAAGAAAAUGACGGUAACUGAGUAAGAAGCCCAGGCUAACUACGGGCCAGCAGCCGCGGUAAUACGUAGGCGGCAAGCGUUAUCCGGAUUUACUGUGUGUAAAGGGAGCGUAGACGGCAGUGCAAGUCUGGAGUGAAAGGCGGGGGCUCAACCCCCGGACUGCUCUUGAAACUGUACGGCUGGAGUGCAGGAGAGGUAAGUGGAAUUCCUAGGGUAGCGGUGAAAUGCGUAGAUAUUAGGAGGAACACCAGUGGCGAAGGCGGCUUACUGGACUGUAACUGACGUUGAGGCUCGAAAGCGUGGGGAGCAAACAGGAUUAGAUACCCCGGUAGUC